rnacentral:rRNA from 1 species
UCGGGAAUUUUGGGCAAUGGGGGAAACCCUGACCCAGCAACGCCGCGUGAAGGAUGAAGUAUUUCGGUAUGUAAACUUCGUAAGAAUAGGAAGAAUAAAUGACGGUACUAUUUGUAAGGUCCGGCUAACUACGUGCCAGCAGCCGCGGUAAUACGUAGGGACCAAGCGUUGUUCGGAUUUAUUGGGUUUAAAGGGUGCGUAGGCGGUUUAUUAAGUCAGUGGUGAAAGACGGUCGCUCAACGAUUGCAGUGCCAUUGAUACUGGUAGACUUGAGUAUGAUUGAGGUAGCUGGAAUGGAUAGUGUAGCGGUGAAAUGCAUAGAUAUUAUCCAGAACACCAAUUGCGUAGGCAAGUUACUAAGUCAUAACUGACGCUGAGGCACGAAAGCGUGGGGAGCAAACAGGAUUAGAUACCCAGGUAGUCCCUGAGCGGGCUGGCAAGGCGCAU